CUGAACCUGAAUCUGUCUCUCUGUCUGAGUCUGAACCUGUCUGUCUGUUUAAGGCUCAGCCUGUCUCUUUCUCAGCCUGAGACUGAAACUGUCUUUAUUGACAGGACAUGGACAGACAUCUUUAGGCUCAGACAGAGGUAAUGAAUUUUAAAGGUCUUCACGAACACAAUUCAGACUCAACCUGCCAGAAACUGAGUAACUAAUUAGCUCAGUGUAAGACUUUGCGUUUCAAUUUAUGAGCUCCAUUUUGAGUUGCACCUGGUCUCAUGGUUAGCAUCGACUAACCAAACUGUAACUGCUUAUAAUGAGACCUCUAACUUAAAAAUCGGGGAAAGCCUUUACUUUUCUGGCGUUUUGCCAUCACGGGGACCCUUCCUCACACCCGUCACAGUCGUCCACUUCUAGCUCCGUAAACAGGGGAAAAGCCUCCUUCCUGUUUAAUCAGAGAUCAGAUCCAGACUGCAAAGAAUCCAAAGUCAGAUUUUUGUUUAAUGUGUUUGUUUAAACACAGAGACACAGAAAACCCUGAACCACCUGCCGCCUCUCCUCUCAAUUAUCUGUUUCUUAUCUGUCCAGGCUCCAUCGCUGCCUCAUUGAUUUUUGUCUGUUGCCAUGACAGCAGAUGGUCCCGCUAGUUUUGAAGACGCAACACCGACUCAUUGUGUCGACCUGGGUCAGACAGACCUGACUCCCAACUUUCCUGUUCCUCUGUUACUCAGGCCCACCCGACACUGUUGAUGGAGCCUUUGGUUUCUCUGGUGGAGUUAUUUUUAUUCAGUAGUUUCUUUUCAUUGUUCCCUUGUUUGAAAAAGGAAGCUCAAGUUAUCUCUCUUUUGCCUGUAAAACAUAGAAAGGAUGUUAUUUUGCUGUGGUUACACAUGUCUCAGGACCAGGUUAGAUAUCUUCAUUCUCUGCAUAGAAAACAUAAAAGCUUUCGCUUCCUUUUUGCAGCUUUACCGUUAAGUCCACUUAGUCCUUUUGUUUUGCAGACAAAUAGCUCAGAAAAGUAGGGAUGUUCUCUGUUAUCCCAUCGCAAACUACAAAUAAUAAUUAUAAUAGUAAUAAUAUUAACAAAUGUAAUGUUACACUCAUCUAUGUGAUCAUUUUAAAACACUUUUUCAAACAGCAAGAGGAAAACAUGGUGGGAAGCAGCAGUGAGGCUCUCAUCUCCUCUUCUCUCGUCUUGUCGGUUUGUUUUGGUUUAAAGCAUCACGGACAGGAUGGUAAACACCAGCUCGCCGUCUGCAGUUUACUGCCGUCACUUUACAGGAUUUCUAACAGUGUUAGUGAUCUGUGAAGUUGCCCAAGUUGAUGCUUUAAAGGAAGCUGGGUGGUUAUUUCUGGCCAAUCAUUCCUGUCAGUUAUUUUCUAACAUUUUCUCACCAACUUCAUCUCUGAGAUCAGAUUUCGGAGCGCUGCACUUCCGAUAGACAACACAGCACAAAGCCAGCACGCCAGCGGUCACAUGAUCAGACAGGUUGUAAAUAAAUCCACUGUUUCACCAAACUUACCUGAUUUGUUUGUUGUAAAUACCAAUAAAUUUGAUAGAGCCACCUUCUCGUUUACUAUAAGUGUUCACACAUGCUCUUAUAAUGCUGUGGACAAUUACAGCAGACGUUUUAGUUUUUUUGUUUUGGUUUGGUUUACAGCUGAUGGAUCAUUUGAUUUAGACAAUAUGACUGAACUGUGGAUUUCUUUAAAGCUCUCUGACCGCUCUCGUUGCUUCUUGGUGGCCCGGCAAUGGAAGUGGUUCAGUAUUUUUAUUUAUUUUUAUUUUUGUUCGGUCGGUCACCCAACAUUUUGGUUCAGACUGAACUAUCUAAACUAUUAGAUGGAUUGCAAUGAAAUAUUGCACUGACAUUCAUUUUCCCCACGAUGAGUCGUGAUGAAUUGUAAUAACUUUGGCGAUCCCUUAUCUAGCUCCAUCAUCAGGUCAAAAUUUUAAUUUUGUGCAAUACUUUGAUUUACCUGCAAAACGAAUGUCUCAGCUGAGGCUGAUGGGACUAUGUUUAGCGCUAAUUUAGUCUUUGGUGAGCAUGUUAGCAUGGUGACGUUAGCACUGAGCUCAAAGCCCGACUAAGUACAACCUCACAGAGCUGCUAUGGCUGUAGACUCUUAUCCUCGUUAUGUAAUCAUAACCAAUAGGAGUGAUGGCCAAAACUAAACCCACACUGUAAAACAACACUAGGUUGUUUCAGCAUAAAAAUAUGAGUGACAAGGCUGCCCUAACAUUUUUAGUACACUGAAUUAGCACAACAUUUUCGUUUAUUAGUUGUUAUAAUGUUGAAGUCACUGCUUCAACUGCCUCCAUGUAAAUUUAAGAAUUUUAAGGAAAAAAUAGCCUACAGUGCAUUUCUGGGAAUUAUUUCAAAAACAUUUUAUAGUUUCUAAAAAAAAAAACUUAAUUUACCGUGUUGAGUGAACGAUCAGCAGAACAUUAAAUUCAUUGAUCAUUCAUUUGACUUGAACUCUUGAUGUUCUGAAAUGGUUCUAAAUGUGAUAACUAGACUGUUUAAGUUUACUUGACUAGAAACCAGCAGAUCUAUCUAACAACACUGAGUUAAGGAUAAAGGAUGAGUUGAUGUAUUUCUAUACAUUAUGCAGUGGAGGCUGUAAAAAUUUAAAAACCUUUAACCAUGUCACUGCAUAAAUCUACAUGAUGGUUUGUUUGGUCCAGUAUUUAAACAUAUUAGAAGGAUUCACUCAGGCUUUGUUUAUGUGACCUCUGACCUCUGAAGCGGCCUUGACAGUGGCAUUAGCAGAACUGUCUGUGUGAUGAAUAGGACGGCUGCUCUGUGAUUCCUGUACAUGUGGCUCUGCUCCAGGGGCUGAUGGGAGGUUUUCUAGCCUCUGUGGCCUGGUAUCAAUGUCAGCAUGUGUUGUGCCGUUCAGGCAAAUGACGAACAGUAAAACCUGCGAGCCCUGCCGGCUUUAAAUCUGAGGUAACUGCAGCUCGGCUUAAUUAACGCCACACUCUGCAGGGUUACAUCCUCCGAGGACGCUGCACGCACAGCACAGAAAUGAUGUUAAGAUUGAAUCCCUGCUGGGGAUGAAUAUUCAGACUGAACGUUUCAUUCUCAAUCCGCAGUAUACACAAUCCAAGGGACACUUCAAGGAUUCAUGGGAAGGAAAUACAAAGACAUCUUGUUUCCUGAGUGGUCUUUCCUUUUUUUUCUCUGGACUCUCCAUAUUCCUCUCGCCCUCUUUUCCUCUCUGGUAUGAAUUAUUUAACCGUUCUCCUCAGAGUAACCCCCCCAAUCUCUCUCUGUAUCUCUGCUGGGCCAGGCGUCCCAUGCUGCAGCCAAGGACAGAUGCAGAGCUGUGAUGGGCGGCUCGCUCUGCAGCACCAGGGAAAGAAAGAGCCAGUGUAGGAGACAGAACAUGGGUGUUUGCUGCUUAUGUGUGUGUUGGUCUGGUGCUGAGGGGGCGGAGCUCACGGGGAGCAGGUGCGCGUGCACAUAUGUCUGUAAAGAUAGAUUUCUGGGCAGCAGCUCUGGAUGACUACAGCAACACCGUGACUGUCAUAUCGGUGCUGUAUAUUUCCUGGUUUCAUCAUAAUAACUCUGGCAGGCCUCGGGGUUUGUCUCUAGUGGCAGAACAGGCCCCUCUGGAUGAAACCCUCCACCAGACGUUGCAGUACAUUGGGUACCUGCCUCCACUCAGAGAGGACACAUGGUGAUUUAUGCCAAUCUGUGAGAUUGCUGUGUUUAUUUUAUUUUAUUUAUGCAGAACCGUUAUAUCUGAUGAACUGUGAGUGUCCGUUCAGCAGCAGCUCGAUCCUCCAGGAGCCGACAGCUGGAGUCAUUCGUCAUGUGGCUGGAGACACGAGCGGCUUGAUUCAUGGCGGCUUUAAGUCAGCGAGCAUCUCCAGAGGCGCAAUCACAGAACGGCCUCACGUGUUCAUCUCAUGAAGGUUAACUGACACAAUGAUGAUUCACCUUUUAUCCAACCACAGUCACACGCUGGGAUUCUCCAUGGAGAUGUAGUUAAGUGUUUGUUGCUUAAGGAGAUUUUUUCGGUCUAAGUGAAUGAGACGACGUGAUCAAGACAAUUCAAAAUGUUUACUGCCGCCAGUAAACCUGGUGGAGUUACUGUCAUUUAUUUAGAAAAUAAAAUUCAGUUUAACAGCCAGACA